ACUCCUACGGGAGGCAGCAGGCGCGAAAACUUUACAAUGCCGGCAACGGCGAUAAGGGGACCUCGAGUGCCAGGUUACAAAUCUGGCUGUCGUGAUGCCUAAAAAGCAUUGCAUAGCAAGGGCCGGGCAAGACCGGUGCCAGCCGCCGCGGUAACACCGGCGGCUCGAGUGGUAACCGUUAUUAUUGGGUCUAAAGGGUCUGUAGCCGGCCGGAUAAGUCUCUUGAGAAAUCCAGCAGCUCAACUGUUGGGCUUUCAGGAGAUACUGUUCGGCUCGAGGCCGGGAGAGGUGAGAGGUACUUCAGGGGUAGGGGUGAAAUCUUGUAAUCCUUGAAGGACCACCAGUGGCGAAGGCGUCUCACCAGAACGGACCUGACGGCAAGGGACGAAAGCUAGGGGCACGAACCGGAUUAGAUACCCGGGUAGUCCUAGCCGUAAACGAUACUCGCUAGGUGUCGGCCACGGUGCGACCGUUGUCGGUGCCGUAGGGAGGCCGUGAAGCGAGCCACCUGGGAAGUACGGCCGCAAGGCUGAAACUUAAAGGAAAUUGACGG
rnacentral:rRNA from 1 species